rnacentral:rRNA from 1 species
CAGCAGCCGCGGUAAUACGUAGGGCGCAAGCGUUAUCCGGAAUUAUUGGGCGUAAAGAGCUCGUAGGCGGUUUGUCGCGUCUGCCGUGAAAGUCCGGGGCUCAACCCCGGAUCUGCGGUGGGUACGGGCAGACUAGAGUGAUGUAGGGGAGACUGGAAUUCCUGGUGUAGCGGGGAAAUGCGCAGAUAUCAGGAGGAACACCGAUGGCGAAGGCAGGUCUCUGGGCAUUAACUGACGCUGAGGAGCGAAAGCAUGGGGAGCGAACAGGAUUAGAUACCCCCGUAGUCCCUGUCUCUUAUAC